rnacentral:rRNA from 1 species
AUUGAACGCUGGCGGCAGGCCUAACACAUGCAAGUCGAGCGGAUGAAGGGAGCUUGCUCCUGGAUUCAGCGGCGGACGGGUGAGUAAUGCCUAGGAAUCUGCCUGGUAGUGGGGGAUAACGUCCGGAAACGGGCGCUAAUACCGCAUACGUCCUGAGGGAGAGAGUGGGGGAUCUUCGGACCUCACGCUAUCAGAUGAGCCUAGGUCGGAUUAGCUAGUUGGUGGGGUAAAGGCCUACCAAGGCGACGAUCCGUAACUGGUCUGAGAGGAUGAUCAGUCACACUGGAACUGAGACACGGUCCAGACUCCUACGGGAGGCAGCAGUGGGGAAUAUUGGACAAAGGGCGAAAGCCUGAUCCAGCCAUGCCGCGUGUGUGAAGAAGGUCUUCGGAUUGUAAAGCACUUUAAGUUGGGAGGAAGGGCAGUAAGUUAAUACCUUGCUGUUUUGACGUUACCAACAGAAUAAGCACCGGCUAACUUCGUG